GUGAGAGGUUCUGUCCAACUCUCCAGUCAGUUAAAUGGAUCCUCAUUCUAUAAGAAGUCUGCAAGAGGGUAGAUCACCUAUUUCAGAAGAUAAAGUAAGAAUGGGAGGCAAGAAAAAGAAUGAUUUUUUCCUAAUUUGGGUUCCCAGGUAUCAGUUUUGGGCCACUGAGAGAAGAAAGAAAUUGUACUGGGCAAGGAUCUCAAACUACAUUGGAGAGAAUGUACACAUGCUGAUGUCAAGGACAGAUCAUAAAAUGGUCAUCAGGAGGGAGCAAAACUGCUGUGGCGGAAACCCUGGGCCUUGACCUUUUAGGGAUUGUAUUCAGAGAAGGGAUGUUAAAGCUGGAAGACCAACUGGACUUAUCUAGUCAACGCCUCUCAUGCUACAGACAGGAAAGCUGAAGCCAGUGGGCUUAAGAAGCACAGUGACCACAGAAACAGGUACUUCUGUAUCAUUUCCAUGCUACUUUUUUUUUCCAGCUGACAAUUCAUUAAUAUGGGUAAGAAUUACAAAGAGACUCUGAGAGACUUUUGCAAAGUAGCAGGAGAAAUGGAAAAAAAGAAAAUAUAGAGGAAGA